GUUAAACUUGAGAUUUGGGUGUUGGUUGAACUUGAGUUUGUGUUGUGUUUGAACUUGAGUUCAUGUUGUUUGUUGAACGUGAGUUUUUGUGUUUUUUGAACUCGAGGUUGUGAAAAUAUUUAAACUUGAGAAUGAGUUGUUGGUUGAACUUGAGUUUGUGGUUUUGGUUGAACUUGAGUUUGUGUCGUGUUUGAACUUGAGUACGUGGUGUUUUUGAACUUGAGGGUGUGGCAAUUGUUAAACUUGAGAUUUGGGUGUUGGUUGCACUUGAGUUUUUGUUGUUUUUGAACUUGAGUUUGUGGUGUUUUUGAACUUCAGUUAGUGUGUUUGUUAAACUUUAGUUUAUGCUGU